CAUAUAAAAAAAAAAGACAACUUUGUUCCGCCGAGUAGCUGUUGACAUUAUAGUUGCGCAGGCACUUUGUUAACUCUAGAGAACCUCGGGCCAAUCGCACAUCCCCGUGGCAACGACUUUGCAUGCGGAUGUCACCCAUAUAAACUUUCGAUGCCAGUUUCUGCGCCUACCAUGAUGACCACGGGUAACGGGGAAUCAGGGUUCCAUUCCGUACAGGGACCCUGAGAAACAGCUACCACAUGCAAGGAAGGCAGCAG